rnacentral:lncRNA from 1 species
AUUAAUUAACUCACCAUUUAUGUGUAUUAGGGACUCCUUUGCAUGAGUACAAGGUCCCUUUUAGCUUGAUCUAGGCUUAAUACUCUAUUAUAGCAUGAAAUCCCCUAUUUUCCACCCGAAUGAACAGUAACCCGAACUGACAGUGGGUUACUUCAUCCCGGGUUUGAUCCACUUUCCAAACUCCAAAUUUGAUGAAAUUUUUACCUAACAUUCUACACUCAUAGGGGAUUCCAAAGAGGUAACAUGCAUUACUAUCGGAGGUCGUUUGACCCCCUAAAUAAUUCGCCGAAGUUGGGACUUCGACACAGUUUUUCCGUAGUGCCGGAAAAAUUUGUCAAAAUCCGAUUCUUCCUCUUUUAACCGCCUCUACAACCCUUAUCCGACCCCUCUAGACUAUAUCCACCCUUUGUAUAGCCUAAUGUCAUCAAAAGACUAGAUAGGGACGGAUAUUUACCUUUUUCUUUUUGGAAAUCGAGGUCCUUGCGUAGAGGGGAAGGAGAUCUACGUUUUUUCCUUCAGCUGGCAGCGCAACCGGGAUCUCCUUCCUUUUCUUUUUCUUCUUCUUCUUUCUCUUCCUUUCUUCCUUUCCUUUCCUCUCCUUCCUUUUUUUCCUCUCUGUUGCCGUCUGAGAACCCCCCCUCUCUGUCUCUCGGUUUCAUUCCAAAGCCACAGCAAACCCUCCAAUUAAAUCACAUCAAGAUACUAUUCACCCUUUUUUUAAUAUUAUUAAAUUCUCAUUUUGCCCCUAACACUUCAACAUAUCUACUGUUAUGCCAUUAACUUUUGAUUCCUUUCCAAUUUUACCCUUACCACUUCAACGCAUCUACAACUAUGCCAUUAUCUUUUGAUUCCUUCCAAUUUUACCCCUUAUAUCAAUUUUAAAGGACUAUUCUAUCCCUUUUUAUAAAAAAAAAAUUUU